GAUGAACGCUGGCGGCGUGCAUAACACAUUCAAGUCGAACGGAGUUGCGAUAGAAAGAGGCUUCGGCCAAUGGAAAUCGUAACUUAGUGGCGGACGGGUGAGUAACGCGUGAGCAACCUACCUAUGCGCGGGGGGACAACAGUUGGAAACGACUGCUAAUACCGCAUAAAUCAUGAUAAAGGCAUCUUUAGCAUGGCAAAGAUUAAUUGCGCAUAGAUGGGCUCGCGUCCGAUUAGAUAGUUGGUGAGGUAACGGCCCACCAAGUCGACGAUCGGUAGCCGGACUGAGAGGUUGAACGGCCACAUUGGAACUGAGAGACGGUCCAGACUCC
rnacentral:rRNA from 1 species